rnacentral:ncRNA from 2 species
AAAAAUAAAACGGGGAGCUAAAGUUUGACAGCUGAGAGGGAACAUGAUUCCGACCCGAAAACCUGAUACGGAUAAUGCCGUCGUAGGAAACUUAUUAUAUGGAUUU